ACGCUAGCUACAGGCUUAACACAUGCAAGUCGAGGGGCAGCAUGGAAGAAGCUUGCUUCUUCUGAUGGCGACCGGCGCACGGGUGCGUAACGCGUAUCAAACCUGCCUCAUACUCGGGGAUAGCCUUGCGAAAGUAAGAUUAAUACCCGAUGUUGUUAUGUUGCCGCAUGGUGAUAUAACCAAAGAUUUAUCGGUAUGAGAUGGUGAUGCGUCCGAUUAGGUAGUAGGCGGGGUAACGGCCCACCUAGCCUUCGAUCGGUAGGGGUUCUGAGAGGAAGGUCCCCCACACUGGAACUGAGACACGGUCCAGACUCCUACGGGAGGCAGCAGUGAGGAAUAUUGGUCAAUGGACGGAAGUCUGAACCAGCCAAGUAGCGUGCAGGAUGACGGCCCUCCGGGUUGUAAACUGCUUUUAGUUGGGAAUAAAAAAGAGGACGUGUCCUCUAUUGUAUGUACCUUCAGAAAAAGGACCGGCUAAUUCCGUGCCAGCAGCCGCGGUAAUACGGAAGGUCCAGGCGUUAUCCGGAUUUAUUGGGUUUAAAGGGAGCGUAGGCGGAUUAUUAAGUCAGUGGUGAAAGACGGUGGCUCAACCAUCGUUAGCCAUUGAAACUGGUAGUCUUGAGUGCAGACAGGGAUGCUGGAACUCGUGGUGUAGCGGUGAAAUGCUUAGAUAUCACGAUGAACUCCGAUCGCGAAGGCAGGUGUCCGGGCUGCAACUGACGCUGAGGCUCGAAAGUGUGGGUAUCAAACAGGAUUAGAUACCCUGGUAGUCCACACAGUAAACGAUGUAUACUCGCGGUUUGCGAUACAAUGUAAGCCGCCAAGCGAAAGCAUUAAGUAUACCACCUGGGGAGUACGCCGGCAACGGUGAAACUCAAAGGAAUUGACGGGGGCCCGCACAAGCGGAGGA
rnacentral:rRNA from 1 species